rnacentral:piRNA from 1 species
UGUUAGAACCUCACCUACCUGGAC